AUUGAACGCUGGCGGAAUGCUUUACACAUGCAAGUCGAACGGCAGCACGGACUUCGGUCUGGUGGCGAGUGGCGAACGGGUGAGUAACAUAUCGGAACGUAUCCAAUAAUGGGGGAUAACUAAUCGAAAGGUUGGCUAAUACCGCAUACGCCCUACGGGGGAAAGCAGGGGAUCUUCGGACCUUGCGUUAAUGGAGCGGCUGAUAUCAGAUUAGCUAGUUGGUGAGGUAAAGGCUCACCAAGGCGACGAUCAGUAGCUGGUCUGAGAGGACGACCAGCCACACUGGAACUGAGACACGGUCCAGACUCCUACGGGAGGCAGCAGUGGGGAAUUUUGGACAAUGGGCGCAAGCCUGAUCCAGCCAUUCCGCGUGAGUGAAGAAGGCCUUCGGGUUGUAAAGCUCUUUCGCAAGGGAAGAAGACUUACUUUCUAAUAAAGAGUGAGGUUGACGGUACCUUGAUAAGAAGCACCGGCUAACUACGUGCCAGCAGCCGCAGUAA
rnacentral:rRNA from 1 species